UUGUUCGUUGUGUUCACAUGCUCUUCACCCUGCUCCUGCCCACUCUGCUUUUCACCUGCCCCCUGAUAACCCAUUCAGUCCUGAAAGGUCCUUAGUGCCUGGAUUUUGUCAUCCAGCCCUGCAGGAUGCUCCUCUUUGUUCUGAGGAAGGCUGCCCCAGACAGAGAGGAGGAGAUGGAGGUAGAUACAAAGAUUGAUACGGAGGUGGAGAUGGAAAUAGACGGAGAAGACGCUGGAGAGGAAGAGAUGGAUGUGGAUGUGGAGGAGGAAGAAGAGAUGGAUGUGUAUGUGGAUGAGGAAGAAGAGAUGGAUGUGGAUAUGGAAGAGUCCAUUGAGGACAUGGAUAUUGAUUAAAAAGGUGCGAUGGACAGCACAGACAGAGACACCAACCUUUGUAUAUAUGUUCUACAGUUUGUUGUUGUUCUUUAGAAUGUAGAUUGUAGGGCUAUUUUUGACUUCUGUAAAUACGUUUCACAUAUUUUUGUU